rnacentral:rRNA from 1 species
UAGGGAAUCUUCGGCAAUGGGGGGAACCCUGACCGAGCAACGCCGCGUGAGUGAAGAAGGAUUUCGGAUCGUAAAGCUCUGUUGUUAAGGAAGAACGAGUGGGAGAAGGGAAAGUUCAUACUGUGACGGUACUUAACCAGAAAGGGACGGCUAACUACGUGCCAGCAGCCGCGGUAAUACGUAGGUCCCGAGCGUUGUCCGGAUUUAUUGGGCGUAAAGCGAGCGCAGGCGGUUAGAUAAGUCUGAAGUUAAAGGCAGUGGCUCAACCAUUGUAGGCUUUGGACACUGUUUAACUUGAGUGCCGAAGGGGCGAGUGGAAUUCCAUGUGUAGCUGUGAAAUGCGUAGAUAUUUGGAGGAACACCUGUUGCGAAAGCGGCUCUCUGGUCUGUAACUGACGCUGAGGCUCGAAAGCGUGGGGAGCGAACAGG